rnacentral:lncRNA from 1 species
GAGCAAUUUUCUUCUAUUUUGGUGUCUGGUCCCACCCUUGACACAUGGAGAUUAUGGGGAUUAUAAUUCAAGGUGAGAUUUGGAUGAGGACACAGAGCCACACCAUAUCAGGCAUCAUCGCUCUCACCAUCAUCAUCGCCAUCAUCAAAACCAGCAUCAUCACCAUCACCACCAUNNNNNNNNNAUCAACACCAUCAUCAUCACCAUUACUGUCAUCAUCACCAUCACUAUUAUCAUCAGCAUCAUUAUCAUUAUCAUCAUCACCAUUACCACCAUCACCAUCAUGAUCAACAUUACCCUCAUCCUCAUCAUUACCACCAUCAACACCAUCAUCACCAUCAUCAACACCAUCAUCAUCACCAUCAUCCUUAUCUUCAUCAUUGUCACAAUUACUG